rnacentral:lncRNA from 1 species
AAGCCGAGGCUUGGGCUGUGCAGGCAGCGGGAGGCGCAGGGCACUGGCGACAGGGUGCCGGGCAGUGCCGGGGACAGCAGGAGCCGGAGAGAGGGAAGGCGGAACGCGGGGAGCCCGCCGUGGAGGCCCUCCCUUGGCCGUUUAAGGAUCUGCGCCUUCCUUGUGAGUGAGAUGCAGUCAUUGAAAGGCUCCGAGCAGAGGAAGCACCUGCCUCGAGCGAGCCUCGGACAGGCCCCCCUGGGCACCGGAUCUUCCUGUGGCAACCAGGCUAAUUUGUAACCUUAAGGAACCC